rnacentral:lncRNA from 1 species
GUCAAGCGUGCGGCGGCGGCCGUGGAAGGUGGGGUUGGCCGCCUAGGGUCGGCGGUGGGCUCGGUGUGGGAUAGCCGGCCCGGUCCGACGCGCUCCGCGAGGUCACGCGAGACACUCACCGAGGCAUGGCGGCAGGGCCUGGGCAUGGGAAUCGUGCGCACAGUGCGAGGAAGCCUCGGAGGGGAUACGAGCACAGGGCGGGUGGUUAGGAGAAUGGGGCUGGAGAGACGGGCGGGAGGGGCGGGACCUGGGCCCCGGGGACCUGCCGGCUCCCAGGCCCCAGGAAGACGCUGCUCAUGCGUGGAGCGGCCGCAGGAAAGGUACUCCCCGCUAAGGCCUUCAGGGAGCGGCCCUUUGCCCUGUGCGAUCUCUUCCUUCCUUUCCCACGGGUUGCCAAAUCCUGUGACGCUGCCCCUUCUCUGGUGCUUCUCAGAUGCUCUGGUCGGCUCAGGAGACCUCGCAGCUGUUACACAGCUGUGGAAAUACCCUGGGCGCUGCUUCACUCCGAAGGCAGCAGCUGGGUUUGCCUCCCGACUCGACCCGCCACCGAGGCUCCUGAGCACUUGAAAUAUGGCCAGUCCACCUGAGACGGGCUGUGAGUGCGCAAUGCACAUCAAACUUCUAAGACUGAGCGUGAGCCACCGCACCAGGCCUCCUCUUCUAUCUUUUAACGUGGCUUUUAGAAACUUUUAAAAUUACAUAGAUGGUCUGCAUUUUGUUAGUGUUGGACACUGGCAGCCCUCCGUCUCCCUCACUGCCUGGAAUCUGCUGCUCUCCUUUUCCCCAGGUGCCUGCCCUCUCCAUUCCUCCUCACUUUCCUCCGCUGGGAAUCGGCACCGCCACUGAUUUUAAAGUUGAAACUUGGCAGGCAAAAGGGAGGUACUCCCAUGUUAAAUGUAUACACAUUGACUGCAAUAGUAUCCUGACUUUUGAAAUGGUAAAACGUAGAGUAAGUUGCUUUUGUACUUUGAGAGUUUCUGUUUGUUGAUCAGUUGUUCCUGAGAACAUGCUUCUCCUUCCGACAGGGAACUCCCUCCACUAGAAUAUGAGCUCCUUGUGGUCAAGACUGGGUCCCCUGUUCCCUUCCCCCCAGUGCCAGCGGAGCAAAGGUCAGUCAGCGGCAUAAGUUGUACCUGCUGGGAGAACUGUCUGCUUCCUCCGGGUGACUUUUCUGGCCAAGAAGGAAUAUGAGUAUGUGCCUCCCUGAGCACUGGCCUGGAGCCCACUCAGGAAACACCAUCUCUUCAUAAAUGGUUUUGAUUGCAGGCAUUGUUCCUUCUGCUCUCUGGAUGAUGGAAAUUGCUUCAGGUCACUGCACUAUCUUCCAACGUUUUUGUGGUUGCCAUGAGCUGUUGUACAGACCACAGUUUGGGGCCUGAGACAAGCUGGGCAUGGUGUUGCAUGCCUAUAAUCUCAGCUACUUUGGAGGGUGAGGCAGGAGAAUAGCUUGGGCCCAGGAGGUCUAGGCUGCAGUGAGCCAUGAUCAUACCACUGCACUUCUGUCUGCGUGACAGAGACCCUGUAUCUUACAUAAAACCCCAGCCCAUAUUUGUACCACAUCUAGAUACGAGGUCAGAGUUCAGAUGCCUAAAUAUUGUAGCUUGUGUUUUGUCCACUGUUGGGGGAAGAGUGAAGAGAUUUGACAUACCAUAAUGUUGAUUAGCUUGUGAUGGUUUGGCGGCAGCUUAGGCCAGAGCAUAAAGUAAAAAGGAAAAGUGUUCACAGACAAUGAAAACUGGGACCAAGUGGUGAAUACUCAAGGCACACAGACCAGGCAAGGAUCCCAGUGGCCGUGGAUGAGUCUCAGGCUGGCUCUGGGCCAGUGGAACACACCUCAGUGUGGGUGAAGGCCUAGCCAGGGUAGCAGAGGGCAGGGCUACAGAACAGCAGCCCAGGUGGCUGUGGCCGACCUGACAUUCUCCUGUGAAAAUCAGGUGCCCAACCAGCACUAAUCUAGAUAGAUGGCAGCAUUUUUUUUCUUUAAAGACAGGAUCUUGCUAUGUUGCUCAGGCUGGUCUUGAACUCCUGACCUCAAAGGAUCCUCCCCUCUUCAGCUUCCCAAAGCACUGGGGUUACAGAUGUGAGCCAGCACGCCCAGCCGAAUCACAGUAUCUUAGACAGAUGCCAUGGCUGCCCAUAGGGUCCUCUCAAGGUGCCUCUGCCCUUGGACUGGCUUCCUACACCAACCUGACAGGUGCAGCAAAGGUGGACUUUCUGGUAAGGCUGGAGGAGGAAGCCUGGUCUGCGAUGGCCUGAGACGCCCUCUAUGGGGGUUGUUGAGUGGAUGGAAAUGUGCAGGGCAUGGGUCCUGCCCCCAAGA